rnacentral:rRNA from 1 species
CUAAUACCGCAUAAGCCCACGACCCGGCAUCGGGUAGAGGGAAAAGGAGCAAUCCGCUUUGAGAUGGCCUCGCGUCCGAUUAGCUAGUUGGUGAGGUAACGGCCCACCAAGGCGACGAUCGGUAGCCGGACUGAGAGGUUGAACGGCCACAUUGGGACUGAGACACGGCCCAGACUCCUACGGGAGGCAGCAGUGGGGAAUAUUGCACAAUGGGGGAAACCCUGAUGCAGCGACGCCGCGUGGAGGAAGAAGGUCUUCGGAUUGUAAACUCCUGUUGUUGAGGAAGAUAAUGACGGUACUCAACAAGGAAGUGACGGCUAACUACGUGCCAGCAGCCGCGGUAAAACGUAGGUCACAAGCGUUGUCCGGAAUUACUGGGUGUAAAGGGAGCGCAGGCGGGAAGACAAGUUGGAAGUGAAAUCCAUGGGCUCAACCCAUGAACUGCUUUCAAAACUGUUUUUCUUGAGUAGUGCAGAGGUAGGCGGAAUUCCCGGUGUAGCGGUGGAAUGCGUAGAUAUCGGGAGGAACACCAGUGGCGAAGGCGGCCUACUGGGCACCAACUGACGCUGAGGCUCGAAAGUGUGGGUAGCAAACAGGAUUAGAUACCCUGGUAGUCCACACUGUAAAC